UACGUGGGGUCCGAGCGUUGUCCGGAAUUACUGGGCGUAAAGCGUGCGCAGGCGGUUAUGCAAGACAGAUGUGAAAUCCCCGGGCUCAACCUGGGAACUGCAUUUGUGACUGCAUGGCUAGAGUACGGUAGAGGGGGAUGGAAUUCCGCGUGUAGCAGUGAAAUGCGUAGAUAUGCGGAGGAACACCGAUGGCGAAGGCAAUCCCCUGGACCUGUACUGACGCUCAUGCACGAAAGCGUGGGGAGCAAACAGG
rnacentral:rRNA from 1 species